UACGUAGGGGGCUAGCGUUGUCCGGAAUCAUUGGGCGUAAAGCGCGCGUAGGCGGCCCGGUAAGUCCGCUGUAAAAGUCAAAGGCUCAACCUUUGAAUGUCAGUGGAUACUGCCAGGCUAGAGUCCGGAAGAGGCGAGUGGAACUCCUGGUGUAGCGGUGGAAUGCGCAGAUAUCAGGAAGAACACCGACGGCGAAGGCAGCUCGCUGGGACGGUACUGACGCUGAGGCACGAAAGCGUGGGGAGCAAACAGG
rnacentral:rRNA from 1 species